GUUGAUAGGGUAUUUCUUUGCCCACUUCCGUGUGUAGAACCGCCAUCCUGGCAGUCGCAGGCCCUCUAUCACAACAUCCCCUUCUGGCGGUCCCUCACUGGCACGGCCAGCCUCACUGGACGCUGGUUUCAUUCUCCCUCUCCUACGCCUUCACACCUCAAAUGCCGCGGGUCCCUUCGUGCCGCAUCACCCUUAUUGGUUCUCUUAGCCUUCCCUUCGCUAACUUCUCUUGAGUAGAACCGAGUGGAAUUCUCCCUCAGAAACGCGCGGGAACCCACCUACCUGAGGACUUCUCAGCUGCGAGGGGGUUACUGUGCAGAUGACUCUGAGGGAGAGAGCUGUUGAAUAUAAAGUCACUCCAAACCGCAGCCCAUCAGCCGCUGUUCUCAGGGUCAGACUUUCCUAGGGGAGCAGGGCCAGGUGUGAAAGAGGUGGGGAAAGGGAGCAGCAGAUUGUGUUCCGGUGGCACGCUGGCUCGGGUACUGGCUGCUUAGACCUGGACCAUUAGCAGGAACUGGCCUGGAAGUGGAGCAGCUGGGAAUUGAACUGACACCCACAUGGGAUACCAGUGUCAGGAGAAGGGGCUUAACCUACUACGCCACAACACUGGUCCUCAUGAGGUGGCAGCCUCAGCCUGAGUGCAGGAAAAGCUGGAAGAAACAAAGGUCAGUUCCCUUGGAAGAAGCUGGAAACUCUGCGCCCACUGGUUGGAAUACCUCGGAGGCAAAUCCUGCACCAUCAUCCAGAGUGCCCGGGUGAGAUCAAGCUCCAUUUGCCAGCGAUGGUAACAGAUUUGACAGCACACAUUUUGUUGUCUUCCUACUCUUCCCUGACUCACUUCUCCAACCCAGUAUUUUCUGAAAUUUUCUUUUUUUUUUAAGGACUUAUUUAUUUGAAAGUUAGAGUUACGCCAAGGCAGAGGCAGAAAGGGAGAGGUCCUCCAUCCUCUGGUUCACUCCCCAAGUGGACUCAACAGCCAGAGCUGGGCCAAUCUGAAGUCAGGAGCCAGGAGCUUCUUCUGGGUCUCCCAUGCAGGUGCAGGGGCCCAAGCACUUGGCCAUCUUCUGCUGCUUUCCCAGGCCACAGCAGAGAGCUGGAUCAGAAGUGGAGCAGCUGGGAUUCAAAUCUGGGAUGCCAGCAUUGCAAGUGGCAGCUUUACCUGCUACGCCACAGCGCCAGCCCCCUGAAAUUUUCUUCCAAAAAUUACUUGUACUGGAAUCACUGUCUCAGAGUCUGCUUCUGGAGAAACCCAAACCAAAACAGUCCCUUCCCUUUUUUAAACAGGAACAUUUGCUUCUCUUGUGGAUGCAAUUUAUUGAUACUAAUUAUAGUGAGAUAUAACAUUUAUUUUUAAAGAAUAGCUCCUUUAUUUUAAAAUUUAUUUGAAAUAAAUUAGUUAUUAAUAUAAUAGAAUAUUAAUAUAAAUUAUUUAUUGAAAGAUAGAAUGACAGAGACAGAGAUCUUCCAUUAGCUGAUUCACACACACAUACACACACACACACACACCGAUGCCUGUAACAGCUAGGCCCAGGCUAGGCCAAAGUCAGGAGCCAGGAACUCAAUCCAGGUCUUCCACACAGGUGGCAAGGACCCAAGUAUGUGAGCCAUCACUUGCUGCCUCCCAGGAUGCGCAUUAACAGGAAGCUGGAAUCAGAAACAAAGUCUGGACUCGAGCCCAUGCACUCUGGUAUGGGAUGCAAGAGCCCCCAGUGGCGUCUUGCCUGCUGUACCAAAUGCUCACCCACUAACAUAUAUUUCAAAAGGCUCAUUCUUGCUGAUGUAAGGAGACUUAACUUGGCUUGUGAGUUUCUGAGAUUCCUCCCGUUUCCUCCUGAGAGCAAAUGUGCCCGGCUGGCAGCAUCUUUGGAGCCAAGUGAUAGGCGGGGCCAAGAUCCAUGCACACUUACAAGUCGUCCUCAUUUUUAGUACUGUGCUUCCUCCUGCCCUUUGUCAUGAUUGGUGUUUUUGGGUCACGAACCUCCCUGGUUCCAUUUUUCUCAACUUCUGCCAAGGUGUGGAAAGUAUAGCUGCCUGGCCACACCAAAUCUGAAAGGUACGCCAACUGGUUAUUCCUGUUAUAAAUGCUAUAUAAAAUUUCACCUCAAUCUAAUUAAAAUGACAUCACUCAUUUUAUUAUCUCCCAUAGUUUUUGUGGUUGAAGAACUUGGGACGGGCUCAGCUGGGUGGCUGUAGCUUGGGAUCCUUCAUGCAGCUGCAGCUGGACACUGAUUGAUGUUGGACCAGUAGGGAACUGGACAGGAGUCCUCUCUUAUCUGUGUAGUCUUAGGGCCUCUCCGUAUGGUGUCUGCAUAUCGGCUACUUUGGGCUUCCUCGCAGCGUGGCAGACCCAGAAGUUUCUGAUUCCGGCAUGAGAGUCCCAGUCUCGAGAAUUUUGCAGCAUCACUUCCAUUGCAUUCUUUGGUCACUCCAAUUGAGCCUGCCUCAAUUCAGUGGGAAGGAGCAUAGACUCCAGCUCUCAAGAGGAGGAAGGGCACAGUCACAUAGUGGAGUAGCAUAUGGAAUAAAAUUUAUUAUAGUGGCCAUCUUGGGAAAAUAAUCUCCACACUGCUCUCACUACCUCUUAUACAGAGGUCCUACUCAUGCUUCUGUUUUAAUCCCACUCUACCUCCAUCCCACCAUUCUGGAUCAACUCCUAACAUUUUGUGGUUUAAGUUCAUGAAUUUCCUUGAUACUUGUGAGGGCCACUAUAUACAGGUGUGCAAACUGGACAGCACACACGUGCCGUUCACCUGGCAAACACUGUACUUCGUCUAUUUUUUGUGAUAUUUCCCAGCAGAUGGAGGUAAAGUGGGAGGGAGAGAACAACAGUGGAGGAGGAGCAGGGGUGCACCAAGGUCAGGGAACAGGGUUGGGAAUACAUAGUUUUAACCAUAUUCUGGACUUAAAAUUUUUUUCCCUCUUGGCUUUAUUCCUAUUAACGAGGGUUUCUCAACUUUUGGCACUACUGACUUUAGACUGGUCAUUCUUGGGAAAGGGAGCAUUGGCACUGUAUGUUGUAGGAUGUUUAGCAGCCUCCCUGACCUCCAUAGGAUACAAAGGCACUUUCCCACCCAGUUGUGACAAAAAUGUCUCCAGACAUUGUUUAGUGUCUCCUGAGGCUGGGAGGGGCAAAAUCACACACACACACACACCACACUGAAAACCACUACUGGGGCCAGUGCUGUGGCAUAGCGCACUAAGCCCUGGCUUGCAGCGCUGGCAUCUCAUAUGAGCACUAGUUCAAGUCCUGGCUGCUCCACUUCUGUUCCAUCUCCCUGGUAAUGUGCCUGGGAAAGCAGCAGAGGAUGGCCCAAACCCUUGGGCCCCUGCACCCAUGUGGGAGACUUGGAAGAAGCUCCUGGCUCCUGGUUUUGGAUCAGUGCAGAUCCAGCCAUCUGGGGAGUGAACCAGUGUAUGAAAGACCCCCCCCCACACACACACACUCUGUUUUGGUCUCUGCCUCUCUCUGUAACUCUUUCAAAUAAGUAAAAUAAAUUUUUAAAAAAGGGAUAAAAGGAGCUGGUGCUGUGGCGUAGCGGGUUAAGCUGCCGCCUGCAGUGCCGGCAUCCCAGCUACUCCACAUCUGAUCCAGCUCUCUGCUGUGGCCUGAGAAAGCAGUGAGAGAUGGCCCAAGUCCUUGGACCCCUGCACCCAUGUGGAAGACCCAGAAGAAGCUCCUGGCUCCUGGUUUCGGAUUGGUGCAGUUCUGGCUGUUGCAGCCAAUUGGGGAAUGAACUAGUAGAUGGAAGACCUCUCUUUCUCUCUCUGCCUCUCCUCCUCUUUCUGUAUAACUCUGACUUUCAAAUAAAUAAAUAAAUCUUUAAAAAAAGAGGGAAAAAAAAGCAAAUAAAAUACCAAGAAACUAGAUGGAAGUAAAUAAUAAAGAUAGAGCAAAAAGCAAUGAAAAAGAACACAAAUAUUCAAUAAAGAAAAACAAAACAAAAAUAGCUUAUUGAAAUAUGCUAAUAAAAACCAUAAUUCUUAUUAAAAAAAAAAAACACUACUCUCAACUGACCUGAAGACUUCUUAGCAAUUGUAACCCAGUCAGCUGUCUUCCUUUUUUCUGUAACAAAUAAUUAUUUAUGAUUUUCUAUUUUUUCAACAUUCUAUUCUGUAGGCAUUUAUAGGAGGUUAAUUCUUCUUAAUUUACUCUUAGGUCUUUCUUAUCAAGUUUAUUUACUGGCUUUCUUUUAAAGAAUUUUGAGGGCCAGCACUGUGGCUCACUUGGCUAAUCCUCCGCCUGUGGCGCCGGCAUCCCAUGUGGGCGCCGGGUUCUAGUUCCAGUUGCUCUUCUUCCAGUCCAGCUCUCUGCUGUGGCCCAGGAAGGCAGUGGAGGAUGGCCCAAGUGCUUGGGCUCUGCACCCGCAUGGGAGACGAGGAGAAGCACCUGGCUCCUGGCUUUGGAUCAGCACAGCGCCAGCCAUAGUGGCCAUUUGGGGGGUGAACCAACAGAAGGAAGACCUUUCUCUAUGUCUCUUUCUCUCAUUGUCUAACUCUAUCUGUCAAAUAAAUUUAAAAGAAAAGAAUUUUGAAAAUCUUUAAAAUGUGAUACAUUUGGGUCGCUAGGGAACCUUCCUUAUGUGGGCAUGGUUGAUGAAGCCAUUGGCCAUUGGUUUAUCGACUCAAACUUAUGUGAUAAACUUAAACUUUAAUUAAAUUAUCUUUUGUUCAAAAGACAGAGACAGAGAGAGGUCUUUCAUCCACUGGUUCACUUUCCAAAUCCUCACAGCAGCCAGGGCCAAGCCAGGCCAAAGCCAGGAGCCUAGAACUCAAUCCAGAGGGCUAGCGUUGUGGCAUAGCCACAACACUAGCAUCCUAUAUGGGUGCCAGUUCCAGUCCCAGCUGCACCACUUCCAAUCCAGCACCCUGCUAAUGCACCUGGGAAAGCAGUGGGAGAUUGCCCAAGUUAUUGGGCCCCUGCUCCCACAAGGGGAACCCAGAAGAAUCUCCUGGCUCUUGGCUUUGAUCUGUCCCAGCCCCCGCUGUUGUGGCCAUUUGAGGCAUGAACCAGCAGAUGGAAGAUCUCUGUCUCUCUCUCUUUCUUUCUGUAACUCUGUCUUUCAUAUAAAUAAAAUCUUUCAAAAAAAAAAAAAGAACUUAAUUCAGAUCUAUCUGCAUGGCAAGGGCCCAAGUACUUGAGCCAUAAUCUGCUUCCUCCCCGGGUGUACAUUAAUGGAAAGCUGGAAUGGGAAAUGGAGCCAAGAGUCAAACCCAAGUAUUCCAAUAUGGAAUGCAGACAUCCCAAGUAGCAUCUUGGUGUCUUUUCUUUUUCUUUUUUUUUUUAAUGUGUGUAUUUAUUUUCUGAAUGCAGAGUGAUGGAGGAAGGGGGAAGAGGGGAUCUUCCAUCUGCUGGUUCACUUUCUGAAUAGCUGGGUCUGGUCAAGGUCAAAGCUGGGAGCCAGGAACUCCAUCUUGAUCUCUCACAGGGGUCUCAGAGGUCCAGAUGCUUGGGUCAGCUACAUGAGCAGGGAGCUAGAUUGGAAGCAGAACAGUUGGGACUUGCUCUGACGCUCCAAUACAGAAUGCUGUUGUCACAAGAGGCACAUUAACCAGCUGUGCCACAACACCAAGUCCCCCAAGCAGUAUCUUAACCACUGCGCCAAACAUCCACUCCUCAAAUGUCAUACACAUUUAUUGCUAAGAAUUGGGGGAUAUAAGAAAGCACAGGGAAAGAAAUUAAAAAUUUCCCUUAAGCUCUCCUUCAGAUAACCAUGAUAAUGUUAUUUUGUUGAUUAUUCUUUUACUUUCCAGUCUUUUUCUCUCUCUUUCUCUGUAUGGAAGGUAUGUAUGUAUAUUGCGAUAUUGUGAAAUAUACUGUCUUAGUCCAUUUUCCGUUGCUGUAACUGAAUAACUGAGACUGGGUAUUUCAUAAAGAAAAGAAAUUUAUUUCUUACAGUUCUGGAGGCCGCCAAGUCCACAUGGACGGGCCUCAUCUAGUGAGGGUUUUCUUGCUGCUGGCAGUGGGGAGGAGGACAUUCUGAGUCCCCAGAAGUACACCUGAGAGAACCUAACAGACUUAUUCUCGAGAUAACCAAUUAACCCAUGACCUAAUCACCUCUUAAAUGUCCCACCUGGUCCCACCUCCUACUGCGUCACAGUGGGGAUUGAAUGUCAAUAUGAAUUUUGGGGGUGACGUUCAAACCACACCACCUACAUUUGGUCUUCAUCUCUGUUUCCUGAUGGACAGUUCCUUAAAUUCUUGUAACCUCCAGAGUGACAAUGGGGGUGGGAGGUGGUGGAAGAAACAGGCUCAAGUUUGAGUCGAUAAACCAAUGGCCAAUGGCUUCAUCAACCAUGCCCACAUAAGGAAGGUUCCCUAGCGACCCAAAAGGAUGGGUUCUGAGAGCUUCUGGACAUGUGGGUUCCUGGGAGGUUGUGCACCCAGAGAGGGCAUGGAAGCUUUGCCCCUUCUCCCUUUCCUCACCUUGCCCUGUACAUCUCUUCAUCUGUAGCCUUCAUAACAUCCUUCAUCAUAAGUAGGUACAUGUAAGCAGAGGAUUUCCCUGAGUUCUGUGAGCUGCUCUAGCAGUUUCAUCAACUUUAAUGAGGUGGGUGUGGAGACCUCAACGUAUAGCCAGUUGGUCAGAAGUGCAGGCCACAACUGAUGCUUUGAUUGCCUGCUGAAGUGGGCAAUCUCGUGGGACGAAGCCCAUGACCUUGGGCUCUGACACUCUCUGCCCCUAGACAACAUCAUAACUGAAUUAAAUUAGAGGGCAUCCAGCAGGUGUUUGCUGGAGAAUCUACCAGAGAAUUGUUUGGUGGGUGGAGCAUCCCUCUACCCAAAAAUGGGGUCAAAAGUCUUGAGUGAUUCUGUGAGAGCAGAGAAUAGGAAAAAGCACUUGGCUUUUUCUCUUUUCCCAUUUCCUUCACAUAUAUGUACACAUGUGUGUAUAACGUUUUAAAUAAAACCUCUUUUCAUAUGGUAGCAUUAUAAUAUGUCUCCCUGCUGUAAGCACCUUUUGCAAUCACUUCGUAUUUGCACAUUGGGCAGUUCACCCUACAGCUCAAGUUCUGAUGUCUGUGUUGACAAAGGCCAUCACUGGUCACUAUCUUGUGUGAAAUACAGAGAACGACCGCUGUUCCCUCUCAAAGCAUAACUUGAAGAAUAUUAAAAACUUAAGUCCCAUGUACUGAGCAUGUACCCAAGAUGGAGUUAACUUGUUAAUAGGCAAACAGCAAGUGAUAAACAUGAUGCAAAGGAGAAUUAGAGGGAAAGGGAUUAUAUGGUCCCUCGGGAAAGGCAGCUUCAAAUCAGUCUGCUAAGUUAGAGACAAACUGAUUAAUAUCCUAGGCUGGCGCCGCGGCUCAGUAGGCUAAUCCUCCGCCUUGCAGCGCCGGCACACCGGGUUCUAGUCCCGGUCGGGGCGCUGGAUUCUGUCCCGGUUGCCCCUCUUCCAGGCCAGCUCUCUGCUGUGGCCAGGGAGUGCAGUGGAGGAUGGCCCAAGUACUUGGGCCCUGCACCCCAUGGGAGACCAGGAGAAGCACCUGGCUCCUGCCUUCGGAUAGGCGCAGUGCACCGGCCGCAGCGCGCUGGCCACGCCGGCCAUUGGAGGGUGAGCCAACGGCAAAGGAAGACCUUUCUCUCUGUCUCUCUCUCUCACUAUCCACUCUGCCUGUCAAAAAAAAAAAUCCUAUAGAUAUUACAUAGAUGUGGACAUCUGGCACAGUGGUUAAGAUGCUGCUUGGGAUGCCCUUAUUCCAUCUCAGAGUGCCUGGUUUUGAGUCUCAGCUACCCCACUUCUCUUCCAGCUUCCUGCAGAUGCUCACCCUGAGAGGCAGAAGAUAAUGACUCAAGUACCUGGGUCUCUGCCACCCACGUAGGAGACUCAGAUUGAGGUCCAGGCUGGCUUUAGCCUGGCCCAAGCCUGGCUAUCGCAGGUGUUUGGGGAGUGAACUAGUGGAUGGAAGAUCUCUUUCCAUUUGUGUCUCUGCAUUUCAAAUAAAAUGAAAACAAAUAAAUAAGCAUAAAGUAUAUUAUACAGGGCAGUACAACUAUAACCUUUAGGAUUAUCUUUUCUACCAGACAAAAAUCAUUUGCAUCUCUAUGAAAUGAAGUUCUACAAGUAAGCAUGUAACUCUACAGAUUCUAGGUCCCAGUCAACAGAAAAACUCAAGUCCAGCAAAGGAACACUUUUUUUAUAGUGGAACACUCAGGAGUGAUCUGUGAGACCACACUAUGGCUUGCCGCCCACUUUCUGCCUUAUUUCCAAGUUUUCAGUAAUUUUUCUUUUUUUGUUAAGAUUUAUUUAUUUAUCUGAAAGUCAGAGUUACACAGAGAGAGGAAGAGACAGAGAAUGUGUGAGAGAGAUCUUCCAUCCAUUGGUUCACUCCCUAAAAUGGCUGCAAUGGCCAGGGCUGUGCCAAGUCGAAGCCAGUGGCCAGAAGCUUUUUCCGGGUCUCCCAUGUGGUUGCAGGAGGUGCAGGGACUUGGGCCAUCUUCCCUGCUUUCCCAGACAUGUUAGCAGGGAGCUGGAUUGGAAGUGGAGCAGCUGGGUCUCAAAUCCCAUAUGGGAUGCCAACAUUGCAGGCGGCGGCUUUACCCACUAUGCCACAAUGCCAGCCCCUUCAGUAAUUUUUCUUAAUAGCCCCUUUCUUUCCUCUAGUUCCCCGAGCAAAUUCAGCACAGUGUUCCCUAAGGGGAAGUGGACAAGUUUCCUUUCAUUUCCCAUUUUCUUCCCCUUGAACCUACACUUUGGGAAAGCAGGGACAGUCCUCAGGGACCUGGAUAUUUCCAAUUAGUGGCUCUUGGCCAGUUUUCCUCAUCCAUGGGGCUCUGCUCCUUUCUUUUCUUCUUCCUUUGUUACCUGCUUUCAGUUUUAAAAAUAUGUAACUUUCAUUGAGAUAUAAUUGACAUGCCAUACACCCAGGUAAAGCAUACAAUUCCAUGGCUUUUAGUAUAUUCAUAGAGCUGUGCAAUCAGUUUUAGAACAUUUUUCAUCACCCUAAAAAGAAAUCCUAUACCCAUUAGCAAUCAUCCCUGUUUCUACCCAGCCCCUGGCAACCAUUCUGUCUCCAUGGAUUUGCCUGUUUGGGAUAUUUCCUGUCAUUUGAAUCAUGCCAUCUGUGGAUCCUUUAUGAUGGUCUCCUCUAAUGAUUGUUUAAAAUUUAUUUUAUUUAUAUGACAGAAUUAAAGAAGAGGGAGAUUCACAGAGAAAUCUUCCAUUCUCUGGUUCACUCCCCAAAUGGCUAAAACAGCCAGAGCUGGGCCAGAAAGAAGCCAGGAGCCGGAAAUUUCAUUCAUGUCUUCAUGUGGGUGCAGGGGCCCAAGGACUUGGGCCAUCCUCCUCUGCUUACCUAGGUGCAUUAGCAGGGAGCUGCAUCAGAAGUGGGGCAGCCAGGACUCAAACCGGCACCUACAUAGGAUGCCAGCAUUGCAGGCAGUGGCUUUACCUGCUAUGCCACAAUGCCAGCUCUUUCUCUAAUGUUUUUAAGAUCCAACCAUCUUGCAACAUGCAUCAACACUUCAUUCCUUUUCAUUUGACAAACACCAUUCCAUCGGAGAGAUAUGCCACAUUUUAUUUAUCUGCUCAAUCAGUUGACGAACCCAUGAGUUGUUUUCACCUUGGGGCUAUAAUGAAACAUGCUGCUGUAAAUACUUGCUACAAGUUUGUUUGUUUUGGUGGACAUGUGUUUUAAUUUCUCUUGGAUAAAUACCUAGGAGUGGAAUUUCUGGGUCCUAUGGUAAUGCUAAGUCAAACCUUUCUAGCCAGAGUGCAGCCAAGAUGUUUUUCAAAGUAGCUGCACCAUGUUACAUUCCCAGCAGCAGUGUAGGCUAUUUUCAUCUUCAUUCAUUGAUGGAUGGUGGUAACUACAUGGUUUACUAUGUGCCAGUCAGUGUGCAAAGUGUAUGAGAAUUCUCAUUUCUCUGUAUCCUUAUUAAUACUUGUUAUUAGCUGUUUUAUUGUUGAUGUUAUUAUAGCCAUCUUAGUGGACAGGAAAUGGUACCUCAUUGUGAUUUUGUGGUCUUGCUUCUUAGACCAGUCUCAUUCAGAAAUCAAUUUCUCGGGCCCAGUAUUAUGGCAUAGGUGGUUAAGCCACCACUGGCAUCCCAUAUGGAUGCCAGUUUGAGACCCACCUGCUCCACUUCUUAGCCAGCUCCCUGCUAAUGCACCUGGGAAAGCAGCAGAAGAUGGCCCAAGUCCUUGGGCCCCUGCAGCCAUGUGGGAGACCUGGAAGAAGAUCCUGGCUCCUGGCUUCAGCCUGGUCCAGCCCUGGUCAUUGUGGCCAUUUGGAGAGUGAACCAGUGGAUGGAAGACCCCUCUCUCUGUCUCUCUUCUCUCUAACUCUUCCUUUCAAAUAAAUAAAAAGAAAUCAAUUUCUCACUCAAUCGGAGGCACCUAGUGCUGUGCCCUCCAGUUAGCCUUGUUUCUGUUUGUGCAUUGAGUCUGGUUGAUGAGUGAAGAAAGACUGCCUUGCUGAGCCAUCCCACAAAUGGGUGCCCCCAACAGGGCAGGACCUGGGAACCAGAUACCCGUGGAAAAUAGAGGUGAUGAAAGCCCAGAGUUGUUGUUUGAGACAGAGGAAGGAGGAAUGGAGCCUGGCCCUGGGCUGGGCCCCUUCAAGGAGGUCCUAGACAACUGUAAGGUGUCAGCUGAGGGCUACAGGAAACAAAAUGACCUUUUCCACCCCCCUGCUGUGCUGUCAGAGAUUCCACUGCACUCCCAGAAGUAAGUGAAUGAGUUGCUGCCAUUUAAAAAAUGUGGAUCCUUCUGGGAGGGGCAGGCAUCCUGCAAGAAGUCAAUACCUUAUUGUGAAUUUGUUUAUCAGAUGCCAGCCCACAGCCUGCGGGGGACAGGGCUCAGAGGAAGUGGGAGUUUGGGCUCACUGAGCAGGGAGGGAGGGGCGCGCUGGUUGUAAAGGACUGGCUCUGCUCAAGGGUCCCUUCCAGCGUGUUGAGACAGGGCCAAAAUUGGGUCAAUGAGGGUAAACGUUCAGCUCCAUUCAUCAACGGACACUCCGUGGGCGGUGAAUGUAAUUUAUGACAUGCUGCACAGGGCGCUGGGUGCUUUGCAUAGAGUUUUUCUAUUGUAUGUAUCUAUUAAUUUAUUUUACAUACACUUACAGCACAGUCUGCCACCGCCUGUCUCACACUCCACCUGUCACAUCUUGUUAGCUCCCCUGAAAAGUGAUCCCCAAGUACGAACAUUCUUUAGGACCUUCCUGGCUGUCCUCCUCACUUACCUGGUGUACUGCACGUCUUGCUGAUUUCUCAAUUUUGUAUUCAAUCCUUUAUAAAGCAGUGUCUUCUUCUGUUCCAAAUGUCCCAAUGGCUUCCUGUUGUGGUCACUAUCAAAGCAGAAUCCUUCUAAGACUCUAUAAAGCACUCCCUGGACCAUGCCCCCUUUACCAGCAGCCACCAGCUGCUCCUUGCUUAGCCACAGGACAUCUGCUGUUCCUCCAACAUACCAGCACGCUUCUGCAUAGAACACACUUCUUCAGGGAUCCACACGGCUGAUGUCCUCCCCUGCUCUAAAUCACAGCUGAAAAUCACCCCCUCAGAGAGGUCUUUCUUAACAUUCCCUCACAUGGGCUGGCGCUGUGGCGUGGCGAGUAAAGCUGCUGCCUGCAGUGCCGGCAUUCCAUCUGGGCACCGGUUCCAGUCCUGGCUGCUCCACUUCUGAUCCAGCUCUCUGCUAUGGCCUGGGAAAGCAGUGGAAGAUGGCCCAAGUGCUUGGGCCCCUGCACCCACGUAGGAGACCCAGAAGAAGGUCCUGGCUCCUGGCUUCAUAUUGGCGCAGCUCCAGCUGUUGCGGCCAAUGGGGGAGUGAACCAGUGGAUGGAAAACCUCUCUCUUUCUCUCUCUCUCUCUCUCUCUGUAACUCUGACUUUCAAAUAAAUAAAUCUUUAAAAAUUUUUUUUCUUAUGUGCCUAAAAGAGCCCUAUAUUGCUGGCUUACUCACUGUCAGAAAAGAGGGUUACAAAUACAGAAAGUGAGAACGAGAAUGAAUGGUGUUGUUGGAAUUUUAGAGUAUUACCUCAUGCUUUUCAAUAUGCAUGAAUGGAAGUAGAAAUAAAGGUGCAAAUGGUGUGUGUGUGCUGGUGCACACACAUGUGAGUGUGUGGACACACUUGUGUUCUCUAUCUCAGUCCACGCGCGAAGCCCUGGGAGCAGCAGUGGUCUCCUGAGAAUGAGCACUCAUGCCUGGAUCUUGACUUCUAAACCCUAUUCUCCACUAAAAGGAUUGACAAAGUGAUGGCUGAUUCCAGGGCUGGAGCAGGAAAAGUAUAAGAUGAGCCUGGAGCAUCUUUUUUUUUUUUUUUUUAAGAUGUAUUUAUUUACUUGAAGUCAGAGUUACAGAGAGAGAGGGAGAGAUCCAAAGUGGAGCUGCCAGGACUCGAACCGGUGUCUAUACAGGAUGCCAGCAUGUCAGGCAGCAGCUUUCCAUGCUAUGCCGCAAUGCCAGCCCCUGGAGCAUCCUGUGUCAAAAAAAAAAAAAAAAAAAAGUGCUCAAGGGGCAAGGGGAUGCUUCAAAAAGAAAAAGGAGCCAGCUGGAAGGGGCUCCCACCAGCCAGAUAUGGCUCAGGUGGAGCACCAAAAUUGUUCAUGAUAACUGAGUGUAAUUCAUUCACAGAAUGAAAUAAGCAUCCAUAAGUCCAUAAGAUAUAAGUAGAAAAUUUGAAAGGAUCAAGAUAAUUAUAUGGUUUUCAAAAUCCUCCCUUCCAAAAUAUGUUUUCAUUAAAAAGGUAAAAAGAGUAACUUCACAGUGGAGAAACCUGGCAGCCACCACCUGGGUAAUUAACCAGCUGAAGUUACUAUCUGCAGUAAUGGGACAAUUGCAUGCCACCUGGUAGGUUGCAGGGAGCGCACAGCUCUAUCCGUGUGAUCUUUUUGCCAAAGGCACAAGUACAUAAUCUGAAUCAAAUUGUGAAGACGCAUCAGAUAACCCCGAACUGAUUCCACAAAAUAACUGGCCUCUAGUUUUCUAAAAGACAUUAAGGAACUGUUCUAAACUGGAAGACAGGAAAAAACACAGCUACAUAAUCCAUGUAGUUCUAGAGGGGAUCGCGUAGCUCUGAAGGACAUUAUUGGGGCAAAUGGCAAUGUUGAAAAGGGAUCUAAAAAGAUUUAGGUGGUCAUAAUGUAUUGGUGUUAGCAGAAUGAUGCAAUUUUUUUGGUAAUUUGGGUGAAUCUCUGCUGGACUCAUUGACAGUUCCAGCAACGGCCAGAUGCCUAGUGUGGUUGCAACUGGUGCCGUCGACUCCCAACCAACCUUUCUCCACUGUCCUCUGUGUCUCCUCCACUUUCUCAGUGGACAGGUUGGUCAUCACCCCAGGCAUGUGGAGUUUUGGUUUUCUUCUUGGGCUUGGAUUGUGCUUCCUGGAACUGGCGUAUUAUCCACUGUGGGCAGCCGAGCUGGCAGAUCCUGUCACGUAGGGUCCACUACUAGUAUCUGGGCUUUCAUUCCACCUUCCAGUCAAACGUGAGACUUGAGCAAGUAUGCAUAGUGGUGCGCUUCCUCCAACAAAAAGUAAAGCUUGCAUAUGCAGCAUCUUUCAGUUUAGUUUUUCUUGGGGUAGCUAGCAACGAUGGUGAAAAUAAAAAGCUGUCGAAUCUCACACUCGAGUCUUUUGAACAGAUGCCCCAAGGUGAGGAAGAGAAGGGGCUGGUGUGCAAGAAGAUAAGCCCGACUCAAAGGAGUGCCUCUCUGUUCUUUUGCCCACAAUAAUCAAAGCAGCUGGCCUUUCUGGAGAGUAAGUUUUCCUGCUUCAAAAUAACACCAACUGUAAAAUGACAGACAAGUAUCUGAUUUCUGCUGGUGACAAAGUGACAGGGACUGCUGGUGCUGUCAAGUUUUAUUUUAUUUUGACUACGUCUGUAACAGAAGAAAUGCUAAAUUUUAUUUAGAGGUCAGUGAAGAACAAUGUGAUUUUUUUUUCGUCCAAGCUUAUGAACCUGCUAAGUUCCAGCCACUGGCCCCAAUUAAGGACAUCUGAAUUAAUACAUGAUGUGUCUUGGGGCCGGCGCUGUGGCGGAGCGGGUAAGGCUGCUGCCUGCAGUGCUGGCAUUCCAUAUAGGCACCGAUUCAAGUCCUGGCAGCUCCACUUCUGAUCCAGAUCUCUGCUGUGGCCUGAGAAAGCAGUAUAGGAUGGCCCAAGUGCGUGGGCCCCUUCACCUGCCUGGGAGACACGGAAGAAGCUCCUGGCUCCUGGCUUCAGAUCAGUGUAGCUCCAGCCAUUGCAGCCAACUGGGGAGUAAACCAGCAGAUGGAAGACCUCUCUCUCUCUCUGCCUCUGCCUCUCUGUAACUCUGCCUUUCAAAUAAAUAAAUAAAUCUUUGAAAAAAAACAAAAUAUAUGAUGUGUCUGAAAGUCUGGAUAGCAAUGUGAAAAAAGUCACUGUAGAAAGCUCAGAGAGAUGAUUUGGGUUUUGACUGGGGUGAAAACUGUGGGCAGCGACAACAGAAUGGAGGUGAGUAGCCAUCUGGAGAGAAAGCCAGCUGGACUUGGUGAUGGAUGGGACGUGGGAGCUGGUGGAAAUUCUUGGCAGUUUGGUUGCACUAAGAGAUACUGCAGAAGAGCAGUGCAGCUUCUGAGGCAUCAUGGCUUUGCCAGAUGCUAUGGGUGCCUGCUACUGUAAAGUUUCCCCCUCUCGCCCCAGCCAUGUGGAGUGUGUUCCCCAGGACACCUUCCACGAUACUCCCUUCUAUCUGCCCUCCUGUCUACCCUCCAGAAUCCCCCCUCCACCUUUGCAUUUCUGAAACUCCAGGAGUAAGGAUGCAUCUGCUAGACUUUGUAGUCCUGACCUUGUAAAGUGCAAACACCUUGGAGAUAGUUGACUAUUCCUGGUCCAAAGAGCUUGAAACCUGAUGUGGCUUGGACUUUGGAUUUUUUUGAACCAUGGAGUUUUGCAUACGUGCGAUGAGAUCUCUUGGGAAUGGGACCCAAAUCUGAACACAACUUCACUUAUGUUUCAUAUAUAUCUUAUACACAUAACCUGAAGGUAAUUUUACACGAUAUUUUUAGUGUUUCUGCAUUUUGAUUGUGACCUGUCACAUGAGGUGAGGGGUGGCAUUUUCCACUUGUGGUAUCCUGUCAGUGCUCAGAAUGUUUUGAAUUUUGGAACAUUUUGGAUUUUUGGGUUAUGAUGCUCAGCCUGUACUUACAUCUUAUUCUGAAUGGAUUUAGCCAUCCUUCUCACAGAGUGUUAGGUGAGUUAAAGCUCACUGGAAACAGGUGAGUGCCGGACAGGCUACAAAUGUGUCCAUUUCCCUGCCAGAUAGGCUGAAUGAAAGGAGCUCUCAUGGGAGCACCAACAGAAAAUCCCCAUUCCGGUGACUCUCACAUGGGCCAUGCUGUGCCACAUCCCCACCUCUUCCCUCAGCAGCACGCUCGGGACAGAGGACGGAGGACAGGAUGGGUUGCACUGUAAGGAUGAUGGCAACAGAAAGAAUAAAAAAUGAUAUCGCUUAGGAAUUUGUAUGCAAUGUACCCAGGUGGAAUUUAUCCAGUUGGGCCCUAAUUAACACAUUUUAUUCACCCACCUGGAUCCUCAAAGACACGCAAAGGUGAGAGUACAGCAUUCCUCAGGGCUAUGGAGAAUUCAGAACCCUACUUUUCCCCUCUACCUUUUCCCAACAGGUGGAAAGCCCCUAUUGACCCAUAGUUAUUAGAGGGAGGAUUAGGAUAGACAAUAGCCUGGAGACCUUGAGUUUUUUCCUUGCUGAUUAAAAAAGUCAAAUCUUAUAAUUCCAGGACCCAAAAGGAUCUAAUUUCCUUCUAGUUCUUUUCCUUUGCAUUCUUACAUAUUUGAGAACUUAACCAUGUACACUUUGAAACAAAAGAAAGCCAAACAGAAGAACAUAGAUUGUACCAUACAUACUUACGUGGUAAAAAUAGGCUGGAAAGAUGCACACUGAACGUGGGAAUGUAAAAGGCAACAAAGGUAAGUUUCACUUUUUGCUUUACUGAUUUAUGAGUUUCUAGAAAAAUGUUUAUUAAUGUUAAAAUAUUCAUGACACUUGGUAAAGAUGGUAAGACAGACUUCAUUCAAAGGGGAACAUGGAACUGCGUUUAGGGACCGUUGUAACAGGGUCUUGCAAUUUGGGAGAAUAUUGGGGCUCAACUCCAUCAAAGACGAAUGGAGAUUUAUAACCAAAGAAGCAAGUGGUCAGCAGUUGGACAAUCAUUAAGAGGAGAUAUCGGGGGUCUCCCUCUCUUGGAGCCCCCUCCUGACUGCUGCAGCGGGAGGUUUCUGACAUCAAUAAAUCUUGCUUUGCUUGCUGAGUUGUCCGUGUGGACAUUUUUUUACGUGAGACAAGAACCAAGAUCUCUUUUCUUUGCCAACAUUUUACCCAUAACAGCGUGGUGCCGUGACUUGGAUCCAGUUUGAAUUCGCCUCGCCAGACUGGUGAGCAAGCAGAUUGCUCUUGCUUCCGUUUCUUGAGAGCCUCAUUCUCCUCUGUAGUAACUCUCUCUUCGCAAGAACGCUGGGUCCCUGUCAGCCAGUUCUAAGCACUUAGCCUGGCUGCUGGUCAGGCUUACUGAGUAGGCUGGAGCGGUCCUCUGGACCUGAGGCUCUGUACUCCCCCUCUCAGCUCUGGGAAUGUUGGGUUUCCUAUUGUGGGGCUCAGUCCAUCACACAAGACUGGAGAAAGUCUUAGAGCAGCUGUGAAAGCAGGCCAGGGCCACACUCUGGUGUUUUUCAAAGGCUCCUUGCCUGGACACUAGACUCUGACAGCCCGUUAGGGUGUCGAGCUGAAAACCGCAUUCUGUUCUUCUUUCUUCGGAGAUCAAUUUGUCAGUGAGGCUGGGCGUGCUUUGGAAUGAGGCCAUGGGCUCCGUGCCCCUGCCCCAAUGGAUCCUUUCUUCACCCCGGACCCUAAGACCAUCUGUAUCUCUCUUUCUGCUGGUCUCACUCUGGAUGCUCUCCUCACCUCGCCAAAUCUCCUCAGUUCCUACAAACUUGAAUUCCAGGUCCCAUUAGCCGCUAUUUCCUUAGACAUCUGGUUGGUUCUGGGUCAGAGUUUACAUAGCCCUUUCACAGAUAGGCAGCUGACUCCUCAUUAGCUGUAGAUCCCCUGGUGACCGGGACUUGUGGAGACAAAUCUUCCAGCAUGUUCUCUGAUAUUCCCUUUCUUCCCUCUUUUUGGGCCACCUCUGUCAGGUCCUUCCUAUACCUCAGAGGAAGGUCACUGGAGAGACUUUAUUCCCCACCAUGCUCUUUUAUCCCUUCACCUGCCUGGUUACCAACCGAGGUGAUGGCCAACUCUGGUACCCUGCCUCCAAACUCUAGCUCAAGACACCUUUGUCGUGAAGACUCAUUGUCAAAAUAAGGCCCAUAAGAUAGGACUCAUGGGUAAGAGGUGUAGAAUAACUAUUUCUCUUCAUGUAGAGGAACAAAAUGAUGGUGUGUAUUUGACCGGGCAGGGGCCCAGGUCUGGCCGGCCACUGGUAAAGAGAGCUGAUUACUCCCUACACAUGCUGUUCUGACAAAUACAUACCCUAGUUAGAGGCAUGGAAGGCUGAACGAGCAUGGUUAUAUGUGCUGGUCCCAACUCCACCUUCCUCCCAUCUCUGUGGGCUUCAGUGCACAUCUGGACACCACAGGCCACAAGAGAGUUUUGAGAGAUGUCUCAAACUUAGGAGAGAUAAGAGCUGAAAGACACUUCUGUUUCUUAUCCUCUCAUUCCAGAUGGGAAACAAACUGUCUACAAUAGUCAUUCUCUAGGGUUGGAUUCUUAAACCUUGGGAUUCCUUUGACACCCCCAGAGCUUAAUGGAAAAAAAAGUCUGAUCUUUUUCUGUACCACCACAUGGCGCAGUUACAAGCUAGAGGAUGGAGAAGGUUAGCCUACGUGGUUUGAGGUUCCGUAUAUCCAGAAUUUCUUUGUGCUGAACUAUCCCUGAUAGAUCUGGGGCCACAGGAAGUUCCCUCCACCUUCUUAGAAGACUUGAGGGAGACCUUAAAGAAAUAUAUUCCAUUAGAUUCUUGACUCUGUAGAGGGACAGGUGGUUUUAAAAAGACAGAAUCCUAAUCCAGUCUGCCCAGACAUUAGGAGAAAGCUCCAGAGAAUUACAGUAAGACCUGAUA